GGGAUAAGAAUUAAGACCAGUUCAGUUAUAAUUCAUUUUAUAAGCAAAUAAAAACUUAACUUGCCUUAACUUUGUUGCGCCCACCAGCUUGGCUACCAACUGGCAUCCUGUAGCCUCCGUGGGAAGAAUCAGGUUUGGCCUUUCCACCAACCCGUCUGUAACCAGCCAUCCGAGGAUUGGGACCCUUGAUGCUCUGGGGGGAUUGAAAGUCAGCAACUGGCGCCAUCGGCUGCUCACGACCGGGUCUCUCAUACUGAAUGUCUUCGUAGUAGUCCCUCCCCUGAUUAUAGCUGCUGCUGGUAUGACUGAAGGUGCCUGGAGGAUACUGGCCAGUCAGGAACAUGUAGUCGUAGUAAGGGGAAGGAAAGAAGUCAAAUCCUAAACCGAUGUUGGUGUUCGGCUGAAGUGGUCCUGCAAAACCUUGUCCAGCAGACGCUGGACCAAAGAAGGGUGGUGGAGGCAGACUGCCGCGUUGCUCAGUCUCCAUCUCGUUGUUGCCAUAGUCAAAGCUUCUAUCAAACUGGGAGAGCUCUCCCGCUUUGUACUGUGAUUCAGUUGGUGGACUCACUUCCUCAGGGAAACUGGAAGCAACGUCACGGAUACCAGACACUCCCACACCUCCAGAGUUAGGAUUGGGAGGAGCCAUGUGGAUUCCUGAGAACAGACGAUCUGCUUUUCAACCUGGUCCUGAAAGAAUCCACAUGGCUCCUCCCAAUCCUAACUCUGGAGGUGUGGGAGUGUCUGGUAUCCGUGACGUUGCUUCCAGUUUCCCUGAGGAAGUGAGUCCACCAACUGAAUCACCGUACAAAGCGGGAGAGCUCUCCCAGUUUGAUAGAAGCUUUGACUAUGGCAACAACGAGAUGGAGACUGAGCAACGCGGCAGUCGGCCUCCACCACCCUUCUUUGGUCCAGCGUCUGCUGGACAAGGUUUUGCAGGACCACUUCAGCCAAACACCAACAUUGGUUUAGGAUUUGACUUCUUUCCUUCCCCUUACUACGACUACAUGUUCCUGACUGGCCAGUAUCCUCCAGGCACCUUCAGUCAUACCAGCAGCAGCUAUAAUCAGGGGAGGGACUACUACGAAGACAUUCAGUAUGAGAGACCCGGUCGUGAGCAGCCGAUGGCGCCAGUCGCUGACUUUCAAUCCCCCCAGAGCAUCAAGGGUCCCAAUCCUCGGAUGGCUGGUUACAGGCAAGUUGGUGCAAAGGCCAAACCUGAUUCUUCCCACAGAGGCUUCAAGCCGGUUAGUGGCCAAGCUGGUGGCCGCAACCAAGUUAAGGUGGGGAUGCCUUCAGUGUACAAAGCCUUUUGAAUGCAAUAAAAGUUUUAAGAUGUCAACUUGACUGCUUUCCUUAUAUUUUUUUUUUGAUGUGCCAAAAUUAUGCAUGACAGGUUUAUUUGGAGAUGAAGAUUCAUACACCUGAACAUGGAUUAAUUUUAUAGAAUUUACUGGAAAAUGUUUACAGCUGUAGCAUUGGUAAUCUGUAUAAACUGCAUCCAGUUUGUGUUAUACAGCAUUUCUCAGUUGCUUUGGUACAUUUCUUGACUACUCUUUGACAUUUGCAAAAGGACGUGCAUUUUUCAAAAUUCGUACAAAUCUCAGAACACCACGAUUGCCUCCAAAAGCUCUUGCUCUCAGUUCAUCUCAAGUGAAAUCUGUCAGUGCCAUCCGAAUGAGUCAUUGUGUACGGAUCAAACUGUCAAAUUGCUUAGUUGUGUUGUCUGCCAAACCUUGUACUCUAGUGGUUUUGCUCUGGUGUAAAUGAUGGCAUUGUAAGUUACACCUUGGUGUCUGGGAGAUUGCAAGAGACUGGACAAGAUUCACUUUCCCACUUUUACGGUUUGUACUGUAAUGUGUUAACACUGUGUAGUCUUUUCCUUUCAGUAUUGUAAUGCCAAAAACCAGUGAACAUGGAACAAUCUCCUUCGGGAAGGCUGUAUAUCCUGUGUUGUAGGAAUUACAGUGCAGUCUUCCUACACCUUGUCGUGCCACAAAUUUUCAUCCACAUCACAACGAAUAUCUUUUGCGAUGCAGAUUGGAAAGAAUCUUUUAGACAGUCUCAUCCAGCCUCUGCUGUAAUGUCAUCACAGGGUCCAUCCAUGGUGGCCAGCAGGUCCAUCCAUGUGUCAUUUCUGGCGAUCACUUUCCAUCUCAAUGCUGAGAAAUUCCUCAACAGGGUUAAGUAAUGGGGAGUAGGAUGAGUAACUCCAUCAGCAUCCUGUUGUGGGUCGCUCACCGUUGCCGCGAUGGAAACCAACAUUGUCCCAAACUAUCACGUACUUUGGCAAGUCCUCUCCAAUCUGACCGCUCUUGUUCAGGCAUGAGAUCCCUUUGGAGUGUAAAAAGGUGACAAGACUAUUUGGCCCAAUGUGUGCAAAAGGUUGGCUGUUAUCUCAUCCGCAACACUCGUAUGUCCUUGGCCUCUUAACUCUGCCUCUUGUGUUUUGCCUCCCAACUCUUCCUCUUUGGCAGUUGACCACGUCCAAUUCCCGGUCCGUCCAUUGUCAGACAUUGUAACAUUGUGUUGUGCUUCAGCUAUGUAUACAGUAAACUUGCCCGUUGAUGGUUCAUGAGAUGCCCCUUCGUCAAGAUGUGAAGUCAAGAUUCACCUGGGAGCAAUUUACCAAUUUAGGACAGAUUUAGAAAAAACAUCUAAUGGAAAUGUAUAGAAAUCUGCUUGACAUGACAACUUGUUCAACCAUUUUGCAUGUAUAGACUUCUGUGAUGAACUAAUGCCUAAAUGUUGUGGGAGGUAAGACUUCAACAGGGACCCAUUAUAAUACAUUUUGAUCAACAUGACAUAAGCAAUUGAUAAUGUAGGAAACACAGAAUUGUACAUAAUCAUAACAUUCUGUAAGUACGGCUGUAGUAAAGUUUAAAACUAUUUCUCCCUGCUGUAGUGGUAGCACAUGAUUUUAUUUUAAUGGAAUAGUAUCAAAAGAUAUUAAUUGGCCAUGGUGCAUAACACUAAACUGCAUAACAAUAACUUUUGUACUGCUUGAAUAACUUUGUACUUUGAAGAAAAAAAACUUGAACAAUGGCUCUGCCACAAAAAAGACUGACAUUAGUCACACUGAAUAUU
ensembl:lncRNA